AUGGGGAACAGCCGCCCGGGAGGGGCGCCGCCGACAAGCAGCGGGAGCGUGGCGGGGAGCAACCCGGAGGCUGUACCGGAAGCUCCCCGGUUGCGGCCGCACGGAGGGCCAGGCGCGUCGGGUCCGGGGAGCCCAGGUCGGAGCACACCCCUUCCUGGUGGUCGGGAGAGGGGUUCCGCGGGGGCAAAUGUGAUGACACCGUCUUGUGACAGGCAGCAGAACAGAGCGGUGGAGGAAGCGCCGCUCGGAGGGUCGAGGGCGGUUAAGAAGAGCAGUGUGCCCAAUUCUCUGUCAAGAGGUUCAGACGGAAGCUCUGGCUCUAGGAUGGGUGCAGAGGAGCAAGUGAUGAGUGAGCAUGCGAGCAACGGGGAUGCUGGCUCUUCGUCGAAGAAGCGGCGAAAAAGAAUGGAUGCAAGAAGCUACAUCAAGAAAUUCAAGACGGGCGUAAGACCGGGUGCCUCAGUUGUAGUUGCUUCCCCUGACAGGAUGGGCAAGGAGAACACUUCAAGCGGGCAUGUGGCAGACAGCAACACUGCUAUUCUGUGUGAAGGUAGGAGGUUGAUUGAAAAAAGCAAGGGACAUUCAAGCCAUGCUGCCUGUAAAGUUCCCAAAAGUCCUAUUUCUGGUUUACAUGAAACUUCAGACACAAGAGUUGACCAAUGUUCUACACCGCUUUCAGAGGUACAGCCACAUAAACCUACCGACGUGCAAAAUAUAGCGGCUGAAAGCAGUCUUCCAGCAAACGCUAGAGAUCCACACACUGGCCCUGCAAGGCAAAACAUUCUAUCAUCAUUGCAAACUGUGCCAAUAUCUACUAUUCAUCAAGAAGAGGUACUGCCACAUAAACGUACCGAUGUGCAAGAUAUAGCGGCUGAAAGCAGUCUUCCAGCAAAGGAUAGAGAUCGACACACUGGCCCUGCAAGGCAAAACAUUGUACCAUCAUUGCAAAGUGGGCCAAUAUCUACUAUUCAUCACAAAGAGGUUAAGAGCACACUUGGAGAUGCUGAACCUAUUAGCGUUCAGAAAGAAAAUUCAGCUCCAGGACAUCUCCAGGUGGCCCGAUCUGAUGGAACAGAUGGUAACCCCAACAUAUGUGUUGCCUGUGGUCUUGGAUCCCCAGGAACUUUUAGGUCCUGUGAUGGAAAAGGUUGCAAAAGUAGGUACCAUAUGUCUUGUCUGGAUCAAUAUUUGUCUCUUGGAAAUUGGUUCUGUACCAGCUGUACGAAAAAGAGGUUGCAGUUUGGCUUACAUCAUAUUGUUGAUGGGAUAGAGUCUGUGUGGGAUGUCAAGGCUGAGGGGAUGCAAACUAGCAAGCAGUAUUUUGUCAAGUAUAAGAAUCUGGCGCAUGUCCAUAACCGUUGGGUUCCAGAAGGUGAUAUUAGUGUCAUGCCUGGAGGUCCUGAUCUUCUUUCCUUGUUUAACAAGAGGACUCAUACUGAAAAGACAAUUUGGAAGGAGUGGACUAAACCACAUCGCCUGUUGAGGAAGAGGCUACUUGUGCCCCCAAGAUUGGCUGAGGAUUUCUUCUGUUCGGAUGAUUUCUUUUGCUCAUCUGGUGUCUCAUAUUGUACUCUUGAAUGGUUAGUGAAAUGGAGGGGUCUUGGCUAUGAUCAUGCAACAUGGGAACUAGAGACUUUAUCCUGUUUACGUACGCCGGAAGCUGACGAACUUAAAGAGAAUUACGAGAACCGCCGUGAAGCUGCAAAACAAUCAUCUAUUCCCCAAAAAACAAAGGUUAAGCAAAGCUCAUUCCAGAAACUUGAGAGAUUGCCAGAUGGGUGCCAUCCUGAUUUUGACAAUGAUCACUUGUAUUCAGUCAAUCACCUUCGAGAGUACUGGCACAAAUCCUGUGGUGCUGUUCUUGUUGAUGAUAAGGAGUAUGUAAUAAAGACCGUGCUAUUCACAAUGUCUGUAUUACCUGACGUCAGCCAACCUUUUCUGAUUCUCACAACUCCUGGUUCUCUGUCUUUAUGGGAGGUUCAGUUCAAUAAGUUGGCACCGUUUAUCAAUGUCGUUGUGUAUGACGGGGGGAAAGAUGAGCUCAAAUUAAUUCGAGAUUUGGAAUUCUAUGAGAGUGGAAGCCACUGUAUGUUACAGGUUCUCUUAUCCCAUCCUGAUGCUAUCCUAGAGGAUAUUGAACCUAUAGCACACAUUGGUUGGGAAGCAGUCAUAGUUGAUUAUUAUCAAAAGUCAGCUUUACAAUACCUCGAACAACUGAAGCAAUUUCCCACUGAUUUCAGAAUGUUGCUUGUGAGCUCCCCAAUUAAGGAUAAUCUUCCCGAAUACGUGAAACUUCAAGCAUUCCUUAAUUCUGGAGAGCAAGAAAGUUACGUUGAUACUGCUGAGACUCUUAUGAUGCUGAAAGGAAACUUCAAAAGCCAUAUUGCAUAUGAGCGUCAAGCAGGUUCUUCAAAAAUAUUGGAGCACUGGGUUCCUGCUUAUGUUUCACAACUGCAGCUACAGACAUAUUGUUCCAUACUGCUUUCAAAUUCAUCUGUCCUCCAGUCGCAGAUGAAAAGUGAUAAAGCUCUUUAUGACAUUAUUAUGUCUCUCUCAAAGUGCUGUGAUGACCCUUACCUUGUUGAUGAAUCCCUGCGACCUCCUGUCAACAAUCAUGAUCAGACUGAUCCUAUAGUUACGAGAGUGCAAGCAUGUGGCAAGCUACUGCUUCUUCAAAAAAUGCUUGAAGCAAUAAGGAACAAGAGGCUAAGAGUCAUUAUUCUUUUUCAAUCUGGUGUACCAGGUGGAAGCUCAAUGGGUGAUACUUUGGAAACUGUUGUGCGUCACAAAUUUGGCCCAGAGUCAUAUGAACGUGUUGGAUUUUGUGGAUCAUUCUCGAAGAAAGCGAUGGCACUUAAUAAGUUCAAUGACAAGACCAAGGGGAGAUUUGUUUUUCUGAUUGAAACAAAUGCAUGCCUCCCAAGUAUUGAGCUGUCAUCUGUUGAUGCCAUUAUCAUAUAUAAUAGUGACUGGAACCCACUUACUGAUCAAAAGGCUCUUCAAAGAAUCAAAAUAGAGUCACAUCUUAGCUAUCCAAGCAUUUUUCGCUUAUACACUCCUUUGACAAUGGAGGAGAAGUGGCUUGUGCUUGCAAAACAGGGCAUGCUUAUUGAUAAGAAGGAUAUAACACACAGCGCAAGCCAUUCCUUUAUCAGUUGGGGUGCAUCAUGUCUCUUCACUAGACUUGAUGAGCUUAAGCAUGACAACUGUGCAAGUAAAAACUCUGAAAGGGACAACUUUAUGGAUAAAGUAGUUUCAGAGUUCUUGAAAAAAUUAGCCACAAAUGUUGUAGGCAGCACCAAACUUAACUGCACAUGCAUAUCGGAAGCUAACAUGAGUGGUAAAUUUUACUCAAGAAACAUCACACUAGUAGGUGAAAAAGAGGAAAUGUGUGCAUUGGAUGGAGACCCAUCUAAGUUCUGGUUAGAUUUACUGGAUGGAAAAUCUCCCUCUUGGAGCUAUAUAUCUGAGCCACCACAAUCAAGCCAUAACAUCUUACAAAACAUGGAAGAACCAGCCAAAGUUCCUGCUGAAGAAGAAGCCAAUGAAACCAGAAGGAAGCGUAGAAAGGUUGGCGAAAUCACAGGUCCAUCUUCAAAAAGUUCACAUGACAACAAUCACCAUGAUGUGUUGCCUGAAAAUUCUACAUCGAGUCCUGCUCUUCAACCACUAGAUGACACACAACAAACAUUAGGGGUGGAAAAACGGAUGAGCACACCCAAGAAUCUUCACGUCCAACUUAAGAAAGAGCUGUCAAAACUAAUUACGGCCCUACAAUUGCCGGAUGAUGUAAGAGCUAUGGCUGAACAGUUGUUUGAGUAUUUUUUGAAGAAUCAUCUAGUUGUUACAGAGCCAGUGAGCAUACUGCACGCAAUCAUCAUAUCCUUGUGUUGGCAUGCUGCUUCUGUUCUUAAGUAUAAGAUAAAUUCUGGAGAGUCGAUUGCCCUUGCUGGAAAAAGCUUGAACUGUGAGUGCAAUGAAGAGCUUGCAUCAUUCAUCUAUGGAAGAUUAAGGUUCCCAGAGGGAAAAAAUCCAGAUAGAGCAAUUGAAACUAGCGUCAAUGGUCAACCAGUGUCAGUAGAGGAUACCCAAAUCUUAAUUGAAACUAGCAUCAAUGGUCAACCAGUGUCAGUAGAGGACACCCAAAUCUCAAUUGAAACUAGCAUCAAUGGUCAACCAGUGUCAGUAGAGGACACCCAAAUCUCAUGGGAGGACACCCAAGUGGUCUCAUCUGGUGCUGAUCACAUGAUCUCAGAGGAGCAGGAGCCUGUUCAAGAAACUCACAGAGAAUGUCAUUUGUCAAAGGAUGACCUUCCUAACAUGAUCGUGGAGAAAAGAAUGGAGUUAAUUGACAAUGUUUUCUCCUUGAGAGAAAAGAAUAUCCUUUGUAAACAACAGCUUGAGAUCUCAGGUUUAGACACGUACACACAGAACAACGUUCUCAGACUGAAGGCAGUGUGCACUUUAGUUCUGGAGCAUAUUCGUAAAAGUCACAUUGAUGAAGUGACCAGGAGUGACAAAAUAAAGCUAACUGUUCAGUGGUUCACUAUGCUUAUGUAUGCAUUUUUGGACCACAUGAGCCUCCAACAUAACAAACUCGAGGCACUGCAAUCUGAUAGGUGGCUUGUAGAGCGACAUCUGAAGGAGAAUCUCCACCAGGUAGCAAAAUCAGGCCAAUUAGAUCAAGACUUUGAUCAGCAUAUUGCUCUACCAGAUUCGAACUUUGUUAUGGAAGAAUUUAUCCAUUUUAAGGAGCAGAGUGGCGAGUAUCAUAUUGUUGAAAGUUCUGUGUCAGAUAACCAGCAGUCAUUAGAUGAUGGAUUGUUAAUGGAAAUUGCAUUAGUACGAAAUGAAGUUCUGUCAGGGGGCAUAUCUACACAGGCAAUGGAAAAUGAGCCAGCUGCAACUUCUGUGGACUCAGGUGAAGGACCAGCAUCAGAAGCUGUUGAUUUUCCAGGAAACUCCAUCCUUAGUUCUGAUGGCAUGGGUGCACAAAGAGCUGGUUGUUCAUCAAGUACUAUUCCUGCAAAUGAUGAUUCAGUUGGUCAGGAAUCUUCAAUUGGUGACUGUAGAAAUACUGGACAUGUUGAGGCAGAAAAUAUUGCUAAUCCAAGUAUGUUGCUGGAAGGAGCAGAUUCUUUUGUUAGGGGACUUAAUGCAAACAACGACACUGUUGAUACAGAUCAAGUCCACUUGGAGUCACCAGUUAGCCCAGCUACCUUACCAAUGUCUACUGAAUUUGAAACUCAGACUUGCCAAUCAAGUAUGCAUGUGGAACAAAGUCCUGAAGUGCAAAAGUCAACCUCAAUGCAAGAUCAACCUGCAGAAAAACGAGCAUGUAUUGUGGGUCCCGAGGCAGCAAUGCAGGAUCAGCCAGCAGAGGCAGAGCGAGCAGGUACCUUGGGUGCGAUAUCAGCUCAGGUUUUGCCGCUUGAAAUGCAACCAUCAUCAACCUCAACGAGGGGCGUUCCUUUUGUGUCUGGUCUGCAGAGUUCGUCUGUCCAUCAAAGUGUAGUACCUUCAUUGGAUCCACAUGCAGGUGUAGAGUUAUCGGGCAUGAUGACACCUCAUGCUAUUCAACCACCAGCCUCAGUGCCUGCGGAACAGAGUACGAGUCUGCCUGCCCAACAAAGCUUAGCAACUUUGCGUCAUCCGCCAGCAGAAACAGAACCAGCAGGUAUUCUGGCCACAGAGGCAGCUUGUGAUUUGCAGCCUGAAGUCCAACUGUCAACCUCAAUGCAGAAUCAACCUGCAGAUUCUCUUGUUAGGGGACUUAUUGCAAACAAUGAUGACACUGUUGAUACAGAUCAAGUCCACUUGGAGUCACCAGUUAGCCCAGCUACCUUACCAGUGUCUACUGAAUUUGAAACUCAGACUUGCCAAUCAAGUAUGCAUGUGGAACAAAGUGUAAGUGUACCUGCCCAACAAAGUUUAGCAACUUGCCAAUCAAGUAUCUAUCAAGUAUGUCUCCUGAACCAAUCUUGCGAUUUGCAGCCUGAAGUGCAACAGUCAACCUCAAUGCAAGAUCAACCUGCAGAAAAACAAGCAUGUAUCGUGGGUCCCGAGGCAGCAAUGCAGGAUCAGCCAGCAGAGGCAGAGCAAGCAGGUACCUUGGGUGCCAUAUCAGCUGAGGUUUUGCCACCUGAAAUGCAAUCAUCAUCAACCUCAAUGCGGGGCGUUCCUUUUGUGUCUGGUCUGCAGAGUUUGUCUGUCCAUCAAAAUGUAGUACCUUCAUUGGAUCCACAUGCAGGUGUAGAGUUAUCGGGCAUGGUGACACCUCAUGCUAUUCAACCACCAGCCUCAAUGCCUGUGGAACAGAGUACGAGUCUGCCUGCCCAACAAAGCUUAGCAACUUUGCGUCAUCCACCAGCAGAAGCAGAACCAGCAGGUAUUCUGGCCACAGAGGCAGCUUGUGAUUUGCAGCCUGAAGCCCGACUGUCAACCUCAAUGCAGGAUCAAGCUGCAGAAGAAGGAGCAUGUAUCAUGGGCGCCACUGCUGCUCGAGGUUCGCAGCCUAAGGUGCAACCAUCAACCUCAUUGGAUUCACAUGCCGGAGCAGAAUCAACAGAUGCGUUGGGUGUGGUGGCAGCUCCUGAUAUGCAAUCGGAAAUACAAUCAUCAGCCUUGAUGCAGGACCGACCUGUGGCAGCAGAAGGAGCAUGUGUUCUAGGCACGACAGUAGCCCAGGAGUUGCAGCCUGAACUGCAAACAGCAACCACAGUUCAGCAUGACCCACUUGAAAGAACACGCUCUGAAGAAAGGAGACAAGCUGGUUUUGAACCAAACACAGCAGCCAGUCCUGAGCAUGAUCUGCAGUCUGAAAUACAGCCAUCAGCGUCAAUGCGUGAUCGACCUGCAGGAGCAGAAGGAGCAGGUAUGGUAGGCAGUACGGCAGCCCAGGAUUUGCAGCCUGAACGGCAAUUAUCAACCACAGUUCAGCAUAUCCCUAUCGGUCCUGAGCAGCCUACCCAACUCCCUCCAGUCACGCCAUUAGUGUUUAAUAAUCCAACAUUUAGUGAUGAACCGCUGAGAAAUGAGUUGGAAAAAAUAAUUCAUUGGAGCACUUUGCUUGAUAAAGGCCAUGACGAUAAGAGAUCACAACUUCAGGCAGAGCGCAACCAAGAAAUAGAGAAGAUAAACAGGAAGUAUGACUCGUUACUUCAACAAGAAGAUUCCGCUCAUCGUGUGAAGCGGACUCAGUUGAAUGGUAUCUACCAGAAAGUUUACGUGAGCAAAUCACUAGCUGAGAAUUUCCAACGCGAGUUCACGCCAUCAGUUGCAUCUCAUGGGAGAUUGAUGAGCCCUGUAAUGGAUCAGCUACCCGAGUCUUCUUCAUCAGCGGCUCGGAUUGCAGCAUCGCCGCCGGUUAUCCCAUCGCCAUCCAUCGGAGCGGCAGCGCACAGUUCAGCAGGACCCAACGUCCGCCCUCCGCCGGUGGCUCUACCAUCCUCAUCACGGACGGUCCAGUCACAGUCAGCGAGGCCUGGCAAUCUCUCUGGAGCAACAUCACCGCCUUUUGUUCCAGCGCCUUCGCUACAUGCAAGCCACGGACCCGCCGGACCACAGUUGCGCCCUCUCCAGCCACAAUCAGUUCCACCCAGCAUCCUCUACAGAACAAUGCCACCUGGCAUUCCGACGCCUCGGCCACAGGGCAGCUACAGGCCGCCCGCUGGAGCAGCAGCACAGCAGCAGCAGCUGCGUGCGCCCUCUCCUCAUCUGCAGCACCUCAGGAUGCGCCCGCCAUAUGUCAUCCCCACGGACCACCACCAGCAGCAGCAGCUCCCUGCCAUCCUAGGGGUUCCAGCGGGCGGGCAGUUUGUCACGGACAGCCUAAGGCCGGCGUUUCCGCAGCCAGGCGCCGUGCUAGCCUCCAUGACUCCAGCAGGCCCGGCUCACCAACCAGCACCGCCGUCAGCGCCAGGCUCAGGCUCAGCCGCCCCGACCUACUUUGUUCCACCUGGCCGGCACACGGACCCCGUCUGGACGCCGAACCCCGCCCUCACGUUUGCCCAGCUCCAGCAGCAGGCGUCGUACCUGAACAUGGCCCUGGGCGUCGGCAGCAGCAGCACCUCAGCAGGCCCGGCGGCGCCAGGAAGCCAGCAGCAGCACGCCGGCGGUGGCGCUCACAUACCCGCCGUCCUCAACCAUCCAGGCCUGGAACCGCCGCCGCCGCCGAACAGCAACCCGUACAUGCCGGCCAGGUUCGGCGUGGAGCCUGACAGCAGCAGCGGCGACGGCGGCAACGCAGCAGGGCCGAGCGCGGAGGUGGUGUGCCUGUCCGACGACGAAGCCUAG
rnacentral:rRNA from 1 species